rnacentral:rRNA from 1 species
GUGGGUAUCUACCCUUUGGCCUGGAAUAACACGAGGAAACUUGUGCUAAUACUGGAUAAGUCUUUACGGAGAAAGCUUUAUGCACCAUUGGAUGAGCCUGCACUUGAUUAGUUUGUUGGUAGGGUAAUGGCCUACCAAGACUGUGAUCAAUAGCUGAUUUGAGAGGAUGAUCAGCCACAUUGGGACUGAGACACGGCCCAAACUCCUACGGGAGGCAGCAGUGGGGAAUCUUGCACAAUGGAGGAAACUCUGAUGCAGCGAUGCCGCGUGAGUGAAGAAGGCCCUUGGGUUGUAAAGCUCUUUCGUCGGGGAAGAAAAUGACUGUAC